rnacentral:rRNA from 1 species
UACGAAGGGGGCUAGCGUUGUUCGGAUUUACUGGGCGUAAAGCGCACGUAGGCGGAUCCUUAAGUCAGGGGUGAAAGCCCGGGGCUUAACCCCGGGUCUGCAUUCGAUACGGGCUAGCUAGAGUGUGGUAGGGGAGAUCGGAAUUCCUGGUGUAGCGGUGAAAUGCGCAGAUAUCAGGAAGAACACCCGUGGCGAAAGCGGCUCUCUGGAACGGUACUGACGCUGAGGCGCGAAAGCGUGGGGAGCGAACAGG